rnacentral:rRNA from 1 species
GUGUCAGCCGCCGCGGUAAUACGUAGGGUGCAAGCGUUAAUCGGAAUUACUGGGCGUAAAGCGUGCGCAGGCGGUUGUGCAAGACAGAUGUGAAAUCCCCGGGCUUAACCUGGGAACUGCAUUUGUGACUGCACGGCUAGAGUGCGGCAGAGGGGAGUGGAAUUCCGCGUGUAGCAGUGAAAUGCGUAGAUAUGAGGAGGAACACCGAUGGCGAAGGCAGCUCCCUAGGCCUGCACUGACGCUCAUGCACGAAAGCGUGGGGAGCAAACAGGAUUAGAAACCCUAGUAGUCC